rnacentral:lncRNA from 1 species
CCAUCCCUAAUGGUCGCUGCCGCCCCAGAUUGACCAUGCUUGCAGCACCCCUAUACCCGGAGGUACGAGCAUCUGUGCCAGCUCGUCCCUAACCACGCUCGCGUCGGAUAACUAGAGCUUCUGCUUGGCGUAGGCGGUGAUGUGACACCAUGCUGGCAACCCUGGUGGAUUUGGUAGCACUAAUAAAAUAUACAGGGUACUUUUUUUAAAAAAAACUAAAAUAUACAGGGUACUAACGUUAAGGCUGGCGGCAUAAUUCUAGAUGAGGCCGCGAAUAGACCUAGCGGAAGCGGUAUGUAUUACUCUCUCUCUCAUCAAUCUGCAUUAACACACUAAAUUAUUGUUAUCUCAUGUUUCCAUGUAAGCAACACACUAGAGUUCGCAUGUAAGUGCAGCUUACACUGAUAAAAUCAUCUCAGAAUAUUUCAUUUGGCUUUGUUCCACUCUUUCGCUUUGUUCAACUAAUCCAUCUUUGAUGCUCAUACCAUUUUAAUCUAUUUCUUCACUAUGAUCCACCUGCCCAGUCUUUGCAUCAAUCUGGCGUGGAAUGUCAAACCAAAGGGCUUUGCCUCAUGCAGAUCAGCAUGGCUCUUGGCCUCAUAUAGACAUAAUUUUCUACUAGUCUCUGAUGACUCCUUACUAGUAGUCUGUGCCUAACUGCUUGAGACAUAAUUUUCUAGAUACAGUCACGUUUGUCUCCUUACUAGUAGCUUGUGCGUAACUGCACGAGACAUAAUUUUCUUGAUAGUCACACUUGUCUAUAGGCCACAUGGAUCCUUACUAUUAGUCUUUGAGUAUAUAAGUAGUAGGUAGUCUGUGAGUAUAUAAGUAGUAUGAGCUAAUGCUUGGUGAACUAUUGUUAUCUUUCAGAUUUUUCAGGUAUGCACACAUCAGGCCAUGCAAAUUCGCACUGUAACUGGCUUCUUGAUUUUUUUAAAAAAAACUUAGGAGAAUCUGACCAAGUUAUGUGUAGAAAUAUUCUGUGUAAUAGCUAUUUUCCCGUGAGAUGUUUAUUCAGAUUUAUGUGUAGUAAACAUGCGUAGGUUUUUAAGUCUGGGUAGCCUUGAAGAGGCUCCAUUUGGUGAAUUCUCAUGUUCUGGUAGGCACUAGGCGCUAGGUAAACAAAUAUGUGUAAUUGUAUUGUUAAACUCAACAUGCAAUAGGCUUAGCUCUUUAAUCGUGAAUUCGUGAUGCCUUCACACUGAAUAUUCCUACUAACUGUGUGUAAAUCCUAUUUAUUGUGCUAGUUUAGUUGUCAUACUCAAAUCUGACUUAGUUCUUUCCAAACUCUUGAAAAAUUCUCCCUUACAGAAGUUCUUCACUGAUUAUGAAAUUCCAUUUUUGUUUCAGUACUGUACUCUAGUUAAGUCAGUGACCUGAUUGCUUCUGAGGGUUUGUUACUUUAGAGAACAGGUUUUAGUUUUAUUUGGUACUUAAAGUUGGCUAUGGUACUUAUAUGAUACAUUUUUCUUACAAAUGGUCUGAUAAAUUUAAGCAUUCAGAACUGUAUGAGACAUGCAUAGAAAUAAUUUUCUACUAGUCUGUGAUGACUACUUACAACUAGUUUGUGUGUGACUGUGGAAUAUAAUUUCCUAGAUACAUGUACUGUCACAGUUAUCUACAGACCACGCUGCUUCAUUUUGCUUUGGUAUAAGAUUGUCUUAGGUGCUGUCUGCAUCAGUCUGUAUAAGGGGACACGAACACAUGUAUCAAUACAAUUUACUCUUUGGUUUCUUAUUUACAGUAUGAGAUAUAUGAUGGAUUGUGUACUAAGAAUCUAAAUUGGACAUCACAGGAAGAUAUGUGUUAUGUUAGUCAAUACAGUAAGAUAUGAGAGCUGGAAAUAUUUUGAUAAUGUUUCAUGCACAUGUGAGUUUUUUUCCCCAUGUAUCAGAAUCUAGCAAAAACUUUUAGAAUUGGGAUUCACUAAUAUUAUGGAGUUCUUCAUUCCACAAUUAUUGAAUCAUGCUCCACUUUGGAAGUAAGGAAAACUACCUGAAGAAUUGGCUGGUGAUUUUUCAAAGUAAUUUCUGAAUUCCAGUCAGAAACUUUCAUCAAAAAAUGUGAUUAGCUUGUUGCCAUCCUUAGUGAUGGAAAACUGUCUUGUUUGCAUGUUGAGACCAACAGGUCUGUGUUUGUAAAUCCAAUCAGCCCCUAAGAUGAUGUCAUAUCCCUGAACUUCUAGGAGUCUGAAGUUUGUAGUGAAUGUGUGACCUUGAAUUAUGUAUGGGCAAGAUAGGCAAGCUGACUGACUGGUCAUGGGUUUACCAUUAGCUUUUGCCACUUGAAUUUCAGGAACCGUAGAUAGUAUACAAUGAGCCUUGACAGCAAACUUGGCGUUGAUGAAAGAAAUAUCACUGCCACUAUUCACCAGUGCAGCUGCAAUUUUGUCACCAAUAUGAAGUUGUAGAGUAAAUGUAUGACAGGAUGCAUUGGAUCCAAUUAAGGCAUGCAUAGAUAUUUGGACUGUAGGAAUUGUGUCAGUAUCCUGAUUUUCAUUGUCAGAUAGAACCCCCUUCUUCUAGCACAGUGACUUCUUCGUGACCCAUGUCAUUUACAUCGCUAUGACAGAAUAAAGUUGCUUGCCUUUGCAUAUCUUGGCAUGGCCAGGAACCCAAGGUUCCCAUUUACCUUCAGCCUUGAGUUCAGCAAUUGUUGGGUUGGGUGUAGUUUUCUGAUCAGUCUCUUUGGUCCAAGGCUUUUGUGGUUUGGCUACAGCCUUGAAGGUAUUGUAUUUUGGUGGGAAUAGAUUUGCUUGCUAGUCUUUUGGCAAAUCAGUAAGCCUGCCAUUGGAGGUGGUGUUGAAUGUAUCCUUUUAGACCUGACACAAAGCUACAAAUGAAGCAGUCUUCAGGAAGGGUGGGAUUGUUCCUUCUAACCAAACCCACUAAUUCUUCAAACUUGUCCACAUAUUAACUGAACCUGUUUGCUUGAGGUUGUGAAAUUCUCCAAUCACUUCAUAAGCUGACCUGUCAUAGAAUCAUUUUCCAGCAUUCUGACAAACUGGUGCCAAGGUAUAAUGUUUGCAUUGCAACCUGUACAUCUCCACCAAUAUUCAGCCCGUCCCUUCACAUACAUAACAGCUUUUCUUAUCCAUCCUUCUAGAUCGUCUCUUUCAAACUCAGGAAAGUUGAGCUUUGGACCACGAGCUACAGCUUUGUGUUGGGCAUUGAUGUAGGCUGUGUAAUGGGCUCUUGGUAAUUGGUAUUAAAUUGUGCCUCUGGUGAUGGUUUAGGAAUGUGGGGUUGUGGUGGUUCAACUGUGUGGGGCUUGGUGUUGUCAAAAUGGUGUGUGGGUUAACAGGUUUGGUGUUUGUCUCCUGGGUGUGGAUGUUGUGUUGGUUCAGGGAUGUCCUCAAAUUCAGAAAUAUUCCAAGGAUGUUGCUCCCAAUUUGAAUAGGGAUCAUAGGUUUCAUAAGCGGAAGCUGAUAGGUUGGGAAUUGUGUUUGAGUAGACCAGUGCUAAGGAUCAAAAUGGUUGUGUUGGGCAUGUCUACUAUUGAGAUCCCCUGAUUGCUGAAAUAAUUGUGCUUGAGCUCUAUGAGGUGGGGUGUAAUACUGCUUGUCAACAUUGGAAGUGUGCGAUUGUGGUGUGGUUACAGCAUUACCAGCAAAAUUGGAGCCUUAGCCUUCCAAAGGAGAGCUCCCUGAGUGUCCAGUAACUUGGCUCAAGUAGCCCAUUACUUGGUCCAUAGUAUUUUGCAGCAUCUUGUUAUGUUCUUCUUGUGCUUUCAUGAAGUUGUUGAGAGUUUGUUGUACACCACCAACUUCUUGAGCUGUUACAAAAGGUGUGGCCUCAUGAGAAUCACCUGUUGUCCCCAUUGUCGGGUGUUGACACCGUUUUUUGACACGUACCCGGGGAUUAGUAAAGUAUGGAUCGGCAGAUGGAGCAGCGGUAACUGAUUUGCAGGGAAAUUGCCGAUGAACGUGGUUGCCGGUGAGGAGAUAAUUGAAUGCGACUAAGUCCAGAGGUGGUGACGUGUUCGUGCCGAUGAUCAGUAUUAAGUAUUUGUCGAUGGUCAUAAUAGGAGGUCUGCCGAUGACUAUGAAGGGGAGCGCGGAAGUUGCCGAUCGAUCCGUGGCGGUGUCCCGGUCGGUUACAAGGGGAUAGUUUUAUGUUUUCCUUAGUUAUUUAAAGUCGUUUUGUAUACGGACUCCGUUUAAUUUAGAAUUUGAGUCCUAGUCGUGUCUGAUUGUAGCUCUUUGAGCAAGGUAUAAAUAUAGAACCUAGGGCCUUGUAAUCAGGAUAUCGAUCAAUCAAUCAAACACAAGUUUUUACUCAUA